GCGGGUAGGACGGCUCGCUCCGCAGCACAGCCCGCUGCAGGCUGCCGGGGCAGCGUAAGCCAGCAUUUCUCGGCUCCGCUGAUCGAUCCGGCAUUGAUGGCGCUCGCUGACCUUCAGCCCCUCCGGAAUGGCAAUGGGCCGCCGCCGCGCGUUGGCUACCAAUUUUACAAUUGAUCAAAAGUCAUCUUUGUCAAUAGAGCUCCGGGUUGCAAGCGACGGCAAGCAAUUUCUGAAAGGUCAGGGCCAAGCUUUUAUUUGCGCGACCCGUGCUUUCAGGCAGCAGCACAGUCCUUUCCAACCACUAAAAGUAGUAAGAAAAAUUUAAGAUUUUUUUUUUUCCCCCUUCCAUGUAUUUUUAGUAAGCCUUUGGGCAUUUUCACUGUCCCUAAAAGAAUACGGUUGCAUGGCAACGUCCCCGGUUGCCAUGGAGACUCCAUGUGUAAGCAGCUGCUGCAAUCAGCAUUAACUCCAGGCUCGCAGAAAUGGCCGAACACGUCUCUGGGAAGAUUUGCAGUGUGAAAAACAUGCUCCUAAGAAGAGACCUGAAAAUAAGGGUGUGCAGCUGGCGCUGAAACUCACCAAAUCCUAUGCUGUAAUCACCAUGGCUGUUAGCAGAUUAAAUCAUAAAUACUCACACAAGAAUCUACUCUCCAUUAUCAAAGAUGCCACCAAGGGAAGACACUUUACAGAGAUUAUUAGAUCUAGAGAGUAGUCCAACAUUGUUCUGAGUUAAUAAAACAACAGGACAACCGCAGCAGCAGCAAUACUUAGGCUUCACGUGAGAACAGUUUUUAGUCUGUGCCCUAAGCAACACCAGUCAUUCAUUCAUUUGGUAAUAAAGACUACAUUUCAACA